UACAGAGGUCUCAAGCGUUGUUCGGAAUUACUGGGCGUAAAGGGCUCGUAGGCGGCCAACUAAGUCAGACGUGAAAUCCCUCGGCUUAACCGGGGGAACUGCGUCUGAUACUGGAUGGCUUGAGUUUGGGGAGGAGGGAUGCGGAAUUCCAGGUGUAGCGGUGAAAUGCGUAGAUAUCUGGAGGAACACCGGUGGCGAAGGCGGCAUCCUGGACCAACACUGACGCUGAGUGAGCGAAAGCCAGGGGAGCAAACGGG
rnacentral:rRNA from 1 species